GACGAACGCUGGCGGCGUGCUUAACACAUGCAAGUCGAACGGAAAGGCCCUGCUUUUGUGGGGUGCUCGAGUGGCGAACGGGUGAGUAACACGUGAGUAACCUGCCCUUGACUUUGGGAUAACUUCAGGAAACUGGGGCUAAUACCGGAUAGGAGCUCCUGCUGCAUGGUGGGGGUUGGAAAGUUUCGGCGGUUGGGGAUGGACUCGCGGCUUAUCAGCUUGUUGGUGGGGUAGUGGCUUACCAAGGCUUUGACGGGUAGCCGGCCUGAGAGGGUGACCGGCCACAUUGGGACUGAGAUACGGCCCAGACUCCUACGGGAGGCAGCGGUGGGGAAUAUUGCACAAUGGGCGGAAGCCUGAUGCAGCAACGCCGCGUGCGGGAUGACGGCCUUCGGGUUGUAAACCGCUUUCGCCUGUGACGAAGCGUGAGUGACGGUAAUGGGUAAAGAAGCACCGGCUAACUACGUGCCAGCAGCCGCGGUGAUACGUAGGGUGCGAGCGUUGUCCGGAUUUAUUGGGCGUAAAGGGCUCGUAGGUGGUUGAUCGCGUCGGAAGUGUAAUCUUGGGGCUUAACCCUGAGCGUGCUUUCGAUACGGGUUGACUUGAGGAAGGUAGGGGAGAAUGGAAUUCCUGGUGGAGCGGUGGAAUGCGCAGAUAUCAGGAGGAACACCAGUGGCGAAGGCGGUUCUCUGGGCCUUUCCUGACGCUGAGGAGCGAAAGCGUGGGGAGCGAACAGGCUUAGAUACCCUGGUAGUCCACGCUGUAAACGGUGGGUACUAGGUGUGGGGUCCAUUCCACGGGUUCCGUGCCGUAGCUAACGCUUUAAGUACCCCGCCUGGGGAGUACGGCCGCAAGGCUAAAACUCAAAGGAAUUGACGGGGCCCCGCACAAGCGGCGGAGCAUGCGGAUUAAUUCGAUGCAACGCGUAGAACCUUACCUGGGUUUGACAUGGAUCGGGAGUGCUCAGAGAUGGGUGUGCCUCUUUUGGGGUCGGUUCACAGGUGGUGCAUGGCUGUCGUCAGCUCGUGUCGUGAGAUGUUGGGUUAAGUCCCGCAACGAGCGCAACCCUUGUUCACUGUUGCCAGCACGUUAUGGUGGGGACUCAGUGGAGACCGCCGGGGUCAACUCGGAGGAAGGUGGGGAUGACGUCAAGUCAUCAUGCCCCUUAUGUCCAGGGCUUCACGCAUGCUACAAUGGCUGGUACAGAGAGUGGCGAGCCUGUGAGGGUGAGCGAAUCUCGGAAAGCCGGUCUCAGUUCGGAUUGGGGUCUGCAACUCGACCUCAUGAAGUCGGAGUCGCUAGUGAUCGCAGAUCAGCAACGCUGCGGUGAAUACGUUCCCGGGGCU
rnacentral:rRNA from 1 species